rnacentral:rRNA from 1 species
UACCGGCGGCUCGAGUGGUGGCCACUAUUACUGGGCUUAAAGCGUUCGUAGCUGGCUUGUUAAGUCCUUGGGGAAAUCUUCCGGCUCAACCGGAAGGCAUCUCAGGGAUACUGGCAGGCUAGGGACCGGGAGAGGUGAGGGGUACUCCAGGGGUAGGAGUGAAAUCCUGUAAUCCUUGGGGGACCACCUGUGGCGAAGGCGCCUCACCAGAACGGCUCCGACAGUGAGGGACGAAAGCUGGGGGA